GUUUCCGUAGUGUAGUGGUUAUCACACUCACCUAACACGUGAAAGGUCCCCGGUUCGAAACCGGGAGGAAACA
rnacentral:tRNA from 1 species